CGCUUAGAUGCUGAUUCCAGGUCUUAGCUCCCAUAUAACUAAAACUUCUCUUCAUAGAGUUUGUAUUUGGUUUUGACAGUCCUAGGAAUUUGCCAUUACUUCUUAAUUUAUAAUUAGAAUUGUUGCAUUUUUCAAAAAGGCAACCUAUUAUCUCCGGACCAUUAUCAUUCAUAACAUUACUCAUACAUUUUUCCAUGAGAUUUUGUCGCCUUUCAUCCAGUGUUUUCCAGCCUAACUUAAGUAAUAUUUGUUUUGAUCGAACAUCAUAAUUAUCACCUGUGAUAACCCUUGCCGC